GAUGAACGCUGGCGGCGUGCCUAAUACAUGCAAGUCGAGCGAACGGACGAGAAGCUUGCUUCUCUGAUGUUAGCGGCGGACGGGUGAGUAACACGUGGAUAACCUACCUAUAAGACUGGGAUAACUUCGGGAAACCGUAGCUAAUACCGGAUAAUAUUUUGAACCGCAUGGUUCAAAAGUGAAAGACGGUCUUGCUGUCACUUAUAGAUGGUUCCGCGCUGCAUUAGCUAGUUGGUAAGGUAGCGGCUUACCAAGGCAACGAUGCAUAGCCGACCUGAGAGGGUGAUCGGCCACACUGGAACUGAGACACGGUCCAGACUCCUACGGGAGGCAGCAGUAGGGAAUCUUCCGCAAUGGGCGAAAGCCUGACGGAGCAACGCCGCGUGAGUGAUGAAGGUCUUCGGAUCGUAAAACUCUGUUAUUAGGGAAGAACAUAUGUGUAAGUAACUGUGCACAUCUUGACGGUACCUAAUCAGAAAGCCACGGCUAACUACGUG
rnacentral:rRNA from 1 species